AGGGGGUGCGACACUGUAAUCUUUUUCGAAUCAUUUCAAAAGAUUCAAAAAGAUUCGAAAAGAUUCAAAAUGAUUCGGCGAGAUUAACUCACCCGUCAGCUAUAUCAAAAUAACUGGACCAUUUCGUUCAGUGUUUGUUUUGGUUUCAAGAGAACGGACGAGGGACGAUCGGCAUGCAACAUCAGAUCAGUCGGAACAGGCCGGAACAAAAAAUUUACAAAACUUAAGCUGCUGUUCAGCCAUUGCCGCCGCCUCCCACGAUUUAAAAAGUCGGAUGGUCGCCCAAUGCGUCCAGAGUCCGAUGAGUUCGCGCCGACGGAUCCGCGCCAUAAGGAACGAUUUCACCGCUGGGAAGUUAAUGAAGGUGGCCAUUCAGUCGCUACGAUUCUCUGAUCCUCAGGCAUUCACCAAGGGACAUCCUCUGUAGGCAGUUUUUUUGCAAUUGGAUGCUGUUCUUCGGCCCAAGCGAAACCUUUGAUUCCGUGAAAUUCUUCGUUGCACUCAUUGGUCUGCAGCACGUUUGGUUGGAAAUGCACGAGACGAUCCGCAACCCGGCCAUGAACCCGUGGCACGUAAUAUCGAAAAUGUUCGAUAGGAACACCAUCGACAAAAUAAAGCAGUUCGUCAACCUGGAACACUUUAUGUAUCCCUCGCUGGAUUCGGCGGCCCACUGGAAGCGAAUUCUCCAUCCAGCGGUUGCGACUGAUCACGGAGUGGGUCCUAUCGCGGCAUAAUAGCGAGAGAAUCGGCUGCCACAUCGAACCGAUCCGGGUGGCCUACAUGGCGGUGCUGAUCUAUGCCAUGCUGGCGACAGCGGCCCGAGCUUCCUGUGCGUACUAUACAGGGAUGCACCAUGCCGAGCAGGAAAUCUACCUUGCCAACACGUUCUGCCAUGAGGGCAGCAAAACGAUUCGAGUACUGGCCGAGCAGUUCCAGCAGGGUCAGUUUAUUACCAUGGAUGGUAAUUGUAUGUUUCUUUCGCGGUAUCUGUUCAAGCAGAAGGAAGUGGAUAUUUCUUCGAGUAUCCGCUGACGAAGAAUUUCUGGGGUAAUAAAAGGAUGAAAAUAUAGGUGUAUAUUGUAAAUUUUGUUAGCCAA